AUUGAACGCUGGCGGCAUGCCUUACACAUGCAAGUCGAACGGCAGCACGGGGGCAACCCUGGUGGCGAGUGGCGAACGGGUGAGUAAUACAUCGGAACGUGUCCUGUAGUGGGGGAUAGCCCGGCGAAAGCCGGAUUAAUACCGCGUACGACCUGAGGGAGAAAGCGGGGGAGCUUCGGACCCAGCGUGAUAGGGGAGGCCGAUGGCAGAUUAGCUAGUUGGUGGGGUAAAGGCCUACCAAGGCGACGAUGUGUAGCUGGUCUGAGAGGACGACCAGCCACACUGGAACUGAGACACGGCCCAGACUCCUACGGGAGGCAGCAGUGGGGAAUUUUGGACAAUGGGGGCAACCCUGAUCCAGCAAUGCUGCGUGUGUGAAGAAGGCCUUCGGGUUGUAAAGCACUUUUGUCCGGAAAGAAAACUUCGUCCCUAAUAUGGAUGGAGGAUGACGGUACCGGAAGAAUAAGCACCGGCUAACUACGUGCCAGCAGCCGCCGUAA
rnacentral:rRNA from 1 species